AUUGAACGCUGGCGGCAUGCUUUACACAUGCAAGUCGAACGGUAACAGCACUUCGGUGGCUGACGAGUGGCGAACGGGUGAGUAAUACAUCGGAACGUGCCUAGUAGUGGGGGAUAACUACUCGAAAGAGUAGCUAAUACCGCAUGAGAUCUAAGGAUGAAAGCAGGGGACCUUCGGGCCUUGCGCUACUAGAGCGGCUGAUGGCAGAUUAGGUAGUUGGUGGGAUAAAAGCUUACCAAGCCGACGAUCUGUAGCUGGUCUGAGAGGACGACCAGCCACACUGGGACUGAGGCACGGCCCAGACUCCUACGGGAGGCAGCAGUGGGGAAUUUUGGACAAUGGGCGCAAGCCUGAUCCAGCAAUGCCGCGUGCGGGAUGAAGGCCUUCGGGUUGUAAACUGCUUUUGUACGGAACGAAAAGCCCUCUUCUAAUACAGGAGGGUCAUGACGGUACCGUAAGAAUAAGCACCGGCUAACUACGUG
rnacentral:rRNA from 1 species